rnacentral:rRNA from 1 species
AUUGAACGCUAGCGGGAUGCUUUACACAUGCAAGUCGAACGAGUGGCGGACGGGUGCGUAAUAUAUUGGAACGUGCCCAGUAGCGGGGGAUAACUACUCGAAAGAUUGGCUAAUACCGCAUACUAUUGGAGCGGCCGAUAUCUGAUUAGCUAGUUGGUGGGGUAAAGGCUGACCAAGGCAACGAUCCGUAGCUGGUUUGAGAGGAAGACCAGCCACACUGGGACUGAGACACGGCCCAGACUCCUACGGGAGGCAGCAGUGGGGAAUUUUGGACAAUGGGGGAAAGCCUGACCCAGCCAUGCCGCGUGUCUGAGAAGGCCCUCGGGUUGUAAAGUACUUUCAGUAGGGAGGCGUUACCUAAAGAAUAAGCACCGGCUAACUACGUGCCAGCAGCCGCGGUAAUUC